rnacentral:lncRNA from 1 species
UCUACAAAUUUCGGACAUAUGCAUUUGGGUUUCUUCGUGGGGAUUUACUUGCACAGCUAUUUCCCAAAUUCCCCAAGAGAACUCAUAAGUUUCUUAAUUUUUUACCAAAAUUUUCAUGCGAAUAUCUAGAAUUUUCUAUGGAAAAAUUCGCAUGUAAUUUACAUGCGAAUUCAACACGCCAGGUGAUUUAUGUGUGGAUUCAAAAUCCCCAAGUAACUUAUCUGGAGAUUUUUAAAAUUCGCAGGUAAUAAUUACCUACGAAGGUUUUUCCAUCAAAAUAUUUUCAGAGGGAAAUAUUUCUUGUAGUGUUAUUUAGAUUGCGUUUGAGAUUCAAUUAGUUGAUUAACAUGUUAUUUAUAUUGUCGUCGUAUUUGAUAAAAAAUCUCUGUUUCGUUUAGUGUUAGUAAUUGUUAGUUAUUUGAUUCAAUUAACCGCUAGAUUGUGCUUUAGAUUCAAUUAACUUAUUAACAUGUUGCUUCUAUUGUUGUCGUCUUUGGUAAAAACCUUUUUUCUCUGAUUUCAGUAAUUAGAUUCGUUUUAAAGUUUAGUUUUGUUUCUUGUUUAUGUCUCUAUGACUGUCCGUUGUAUUAUGAGAGUGAUCGAUGAGUUUCGGAAUAUUAGUAGUUUAUAUUAAUUGAGUUAGCUAUGUUAUUCCGUUUCCUUUUUACUAGUUUGGUCAAUCACCGCUAUUGUUUAUUUGUUUGGUUUCAAUUAGUUUAUGUGUUGAUGCUGUUUUGGUUCAAGUAUUUUGAGAGACAUGUUAGUUAGUUUAUAAGCUUGUUUGGUUUGUUUGAUAGUCAUGUUGUUGCAUUCCAAAUUGAUAUUCCACUGAUGGUAUUGCUUCUGAUUGGUAGUAGUUCAUAAUGAGGACUGUCUUGAUUUUGUGUGUGUGGUGGGGGGGGGGGGGGGGGUUACUUGUGUGUAGGACCUUUGUUUGGUUGCUUUUACUGUUCGGGGCAAAAUUCUGUCCACAGUUGGUAAGGAAAACUGUUUCUUGGAUAGAUUUUUGGUUUUGGACAGAUUUUCUGUCAAAAAUGCUAUCAUUUUGGACAGAUUUUCGGUAAAACAAAAAUCUGCCCCAGCCCUUCCUCUCCUAUAUAAAGAGAAGUUCUUUCCUCACUUGAGGACAUCUUCUACACAUCUUUUGCUCUAAAAAAAAGACAGACAACUCAGAAAGAAAAAAAAAAGGCAUCAGUUGAAUACCCUUAGGAAGCUGAAGCUUUAGAGCAUUUGAGUAGUAUUUUGGAGACACAAUUUACCAGAAAAACAAAGGGGUCUUUACAGUUUGCUCUAAGUUUGGUUUGCUGAAGUUUCUGGGUAAUUUCUGGGUGAUUUCGCUGCUGUUCCCAUUGAUGUUUUUACUGUCUUUGCUGCUGAAUUUCUGUUGUUGCACUGCUGUAUUUUAUUAUUCUACAAAUCAGGUAACUUUCAAAUUCUUAUAAUGCAGAUUCUUGAUGAUAAUAAGAAAGAUUUGAUCCUGGUUUGGCUGAUGAGAUACGUUAGAUAUGACUUUGUUCCUAGAUGAAUGAUAUGUUAGUGUUAUUAUUAUAUAAAUCUGUUAGAAGUUAGCUAAAUUAUCAGUUCUUCUUUACAUAUGUUGGUGAAACUGCAUUCUACUAAGUCUUUUAGUUAAGGAGAAGAAAUGUUCUUGUUGCAGAACAGCAGAAGUAUUCUGCAUAUGAAAUGUA